rnacentral:rRNA from 1 species
GACGAACGCUGGCGGCGUGCUUAACACAUGCAAGUCGAACGGUGAAGCCCCAGCUUGCUGGGGUGGAUGAGUGGCGAACGGGUGAGUAACACGUGAGUAACCUGCCCCCUUCUCCUGGAUAACUGCCGGAAACGGUAGCUAAUACGGGAUAUUCAGAUCCUGCCGCAUGGUGGGGUCUGGAAAGGUUUUUCUGGUGGGGGAUGGGCUCGCGGCCUAUCAGCUUGUUGGUGGGGUGAUGGCCUACCAAGACUUUGACGGGUAGCCGGCCUGAGAGGGUGGACGGUCACACUGGGACUGAGACACGGCCCAGACUCCUACGGGAGGCAGCAGUGGGGAAUAUUGCACAAUGGGCGCAAGCCUGAUGCAGCGACGCCGCGUGAGGGAUGAAGGCCUUCGGGUUGUAAACCUCUUUCGCCAGUGAAGCAGGCCAGGCCUUAUUCGCCUGGUUGACGGUAGCUGGAUAAGAAGCGCCGGCUAACUACGUGCCAGCAGCCGCGGUAAUACGUAGGGCGCAAGCGUUGUCCGGAAUUAUUGGGCGUAAAGAGCUCGUAGGCGGCUGGUCGCGUCUGUCGUGAAAUCCCCUGGCUUAACUGGGGGCUUGCGGUGGGUACGGGCCGGCUUGAGUGCGGUAGGGGAGACUGGAACUCCUGGUGUAGCGGUGGAAUGCGCAGAUAUCAGGAAGAACACCGGUGGCGAAGGCGGGUCUCUGGGCCGUUACUGACGCUGAGGAGCGAAAGCGUGGGGAGCGAACAGG